ACGGAAGGCAGCAGUGGGGAAUAUUGCACAAUGGGCGAAAGCCUGAUGCAGCGACGCCGCGUGGGUGAAGAAGUAUCUCGGUAUGUAAAGCUCUAUCAGCAGGGAAGAAAAUGACGGUACCUGACUAAGAAGCCCCGGCUAACUACGUGCCAGCAGCCGCGGUAAUACGUAGGGGGCAAGCGUUAUCCGGAUUUACUGGGUGUAAAGGGAGCGUAGACGGUUUGGCAAGUCUGAAGUGAAAUGCGGGGGCUCAACUCCUGAACUGCUUUGGAAACUGUCGAACUAGAGUGCAGGAGAGGUAAGUGGAAUUCCUAGUGUAGCGGUGAAAUGCGUAGAUAUUAGGAGGAACACCAGUGGCGAAGGCGGCUUACUGGACUGUAACUGACGUUGAGGCUCGAAAGCGUGGGGAGCAAACAGGAUUAGAUACCCUGGUA
rnacentral:rRNA from 1 species